CCUGGCUCAGGACGAACGCUGGCGGCGUGCCUAAUACAUGCAAGUAGAACGCUGAAGAGAGGAGCUUGCUCUUCUUGGAUGAGUUGCGAACGGGUGAGUAACGCGUAGGUAACCUGCCUGGUAGCGGGGGAUAACUAUUGGAAACGAUAGCUAAUACCGCAUGAUAUUAAUUGUCGCAUGAUAAUUAAUUGAAAGAUGCAAUUGCAUCACUACCGGAUGGACCUGCGUUGUAUUAGCUAGUUGGUGAGGUAACGGCUCACCAAGGCGACGAUACAUAGCCGACCUGAGAGGGUGAUCGGCCAGACUGGGACUGAGACACGGCCCAGGCUCAUAAGG
rnacentral:rRNA from 1 species